rnacentral:tRNA from 1 species
GCAGUCGUGGCCGAGUGGUUAAGGCGAUGGACUAGAGAUCGAUUGGGGUCUCCCCGCACAGGUUCGAAUUCUGUCGACUGCG